AUUAAACUUAAGAAACAUGAAGCAUUACCUUUUUAAAAAUGCUUUUGUUUGCUACUACUGUAUACGGUUGACUUUGACAACUACGACGGAAUGAUGGGGCCAUCAAUGCAGCAAACAACCACUGGAAAUUCCUGCAUCUGCACAAGUCGAACGGAAAUGCGUACAUCAUGGGUCCCAUGUGUCAGGCUGAGGACAAAGACUCAGCCAGUACUUCAACAUGCGGCAGAACCGGCAUCAGAAGACUGAUUGGGUGGGUAUUAAAUGGAAGCCCGCUACAAUCAACCACAGCAUCCAAAAAGAUGG